CCUACGGGCGGCAGCAGUGAGGAAUAUUGGUCAAUGGACGAGAGUCUGAACCAGCCAAGUAGCGUGAAGGAUGACUGCCCUAUGGGUUGUAAACUUCUUUUAUAUGGGAAUAAAACGUUCCACGUGUGGGAUUUUGUAUGUACCAUAUGAAUAAGGAUCGGCUAACUCCGUGCCAGCAGCCGCGGUAAUACGGAGGAUCCGAGCGUUAUCCGGAUUUAUUGGGUUUAACGGGAGCGUAGGUGGAUUGUUAAGUCAGUUGUGAAAGUUUGCGGCUCAACCGUAAAAUUGCAGUUGAAAAUGGCAGUCUUGAGUACAGUAGAGGUGGGCGGAAUUCGUGGUGUAGCGGUGAAAUGCUUAGAUAUCACGAAGAACUCCGAUUGCGAAGGCAGUUCACUGGACUGCAACUGACACUGAGGCUCGAAAGUGUGGGUAUCAAACAGGAUUAGAUACCCCAGUAGUC
rnacentral:rRNA from 1 species